rnacentral:rRNA from 1 species
UACGGGGGGGGCAAGCGUUGUUCGGAAUUACUGGGCGUAAAGGGCUCGUAGGUGGCCAACUAAGUCAGACGUGAAAUCCCUCGGCUUAACCGGGGAACUGCGUCUGAUACUGGAUGGCUUGAGUUUGGGAGAGGGACGCGGAAUUCCAGGUGUAGCGGUGAAAUGCGUAGAUAUCUGGAGGAACACCGGUUGCGAAGGCGGCGUCCUGGACCAACACUGACACUGAGGAGCGAAAGCCAGGGGAGCAAACGGG